rnacentral:rRNA from 1 species
AUGCUUGGACAUAUGCACAAACGCGAGACGGCGCAGAGAGCUUGGCAGCAGCGGUGGCCCAGAUGGUCUAUGCCCCCAGGUUUGAUCUGCUGUUUCCCGAAAGAGCGAGGUGGAGGCAUGACCGGCAGCGGCGACGUCGCGGUGCACAUCGAACAUCUGGCGCGCAGCCUGAUGCAGAAGCAGGAGGACGUGGCGGCGGAGGAGCAACACCGGACCAUGGUGAGCAGACACCGGGUGUCCCGUGUCCCUGCCCGUCACCGUGACAGCAACCCCGACGCCUACACGCCGUGGUUCGUUGCCAUUGGCCCGCUUCACAACCGUGAGGAUCGGCGCCUCCGCCCCGCCGAACGGCUCAAGGUGGCCUACCUCAACAGCCUCAUCUCCCGUGGUCACCCGGACCCAACGCACCACCUCGCCGUCAUCCAGGAGUACGUUCGCAUCGUCGCCGGUCGUGAGCAGGAGGCCCGGGCCAUGUACGCCAGCGAGGAGGUCGUCGAUAUUGCCACUGAUGACUUCAUCCUGAUGAUGGUGCUUGACGGCUGCUUCAUCAUCGAGCACCUCGUGAACGUCGCCACGGCCCGGGACGAGCCGUCGCUGCACGCCACGCCCUUCGGCCCAACGCAGCUCUCCGUCGACCUCAUCCUCGCAGAGAACCAGAUGCCCUUCUUCGUGCUCGUUGAUCUCAUCGCCAGCACCAAGCUGCCGGAGUUCGAGUGCAUGGGCUACCCCGCGCCAGUGCUGCUCAUGAAGCUCGUGCUGUACAACUUCGCCGGCGAGAAGGGCCGCAGCAUGAGCGAGGAGCUGCUGGCCGCCGAGGGGGUCUCCCACGUCCUGCACCUGCUCCACGAGAUGGUCACCGCGGCGCGGACCAGCUGGUGGCGUCCGAUACCUCACAUCCUGGACGGUGGCUGGGAGCAGGCGGUAAGGCGGCUGGUGCGCGGUCUACCGUCUCUGGUAUUGGCGCCUCUGCUGCGCUGGAUUGCCCCCGAGGGCCGCAGGGGGCAUGUGCGGGAGGACGUGCCGUCGGCAAGCGACAUGAAGCGGAUGCGGCUGGAGUUCAAGAAGGCGCGCGUCAGGGGCAUAACGGCGAGCGUGGCGGCCAUCGCGUCGGUGAUGGGCCCGGUCCCUUUGGUCGUGGAGCUAACGGACGGGGACUAUCUUGUGCUGCCGCAGUUGCGGCUCGAGUUCCGGACGGCGCCACUCCUGCUGAACCUGAUGGCGUUCGAGCGGUCAGCGUUGGCGUCAGCGAAGACGUUGUCCGACGUGUCGGCGUACAUGUGUUUCAUGACGAAGCUCGUACAGACGGCGGAGGACGCGGGCUUGGUUCUGGCGGCAGAGGUGGUGCAGCAGGACGGCAGCGCGGGCAACCAGAGCAUAGAGGAGGUGGUGAGGUUCUUCCGGAUGGUGGGCGCCGCGAGCGAGUUGGCGGCUGGCGGCGAACUGCUGACGUCGAGCUACCUGUGCGUGCUGGUGGAGAAGCUGAGGGAGCGGAGCCGGAGCUGGACCUACGCGGAUCGCAACUACUACACCUUCCUCGCCGAGUUCGUGGCCUUGGUCACCUUCGUCUCCGGUGUCUCAACCAUACUCCAGACCUACGCAGCCUUCAAGUACCAUUGA